GACUAUACAAAGGUAUUGAAAUAAGAUUUUAAUUGAAUGCUAAGAGAAUGGAAUUACAGAAAAUAGCUUUUUUUAGAUUAAAAAUUGAAAUUUUUUUAAUUUGUGCAGAAACAAUUAUUAAUAUUAAGGACAAGAAGACCCUAUGAAUUUAUAAAUUUAUGUUAUAGUAAUUAAUAUAAAAUAAAUUUUGGUUGGGGCGACAAAAAAAAAUAAAAAACUUUUU
rnacentral:rRNA from 1 species